AUUGAACGCUGACGGCAGGCCUAACACAUGCAAGUCGAGCGGAUGAAGGGAGCUUGCUCCUGGAUUCAGCGGCGGACGGGUGAGUAAUGCCUAGGAAUCUGCCUGGUAGUGGGGGAUAACGUCCGGAAACGGGCGCUAAUACCGCAUACGUCCUGAGGGAGAAAGUGGGGGAUCUUCGGACCUCACGCUAUCAGAUGAGCCUAGGUCGGAUUAGUUAGUUGGUGGGGUAAAGGCCUACCAAGGCGACGAUCCGUAACUGGUCUGAGAGGAUGAUCAGUCACACUGGAACUGAGACACGGUCCAGACUCCUACGGGAGGCAGCAGUGGGGAAUAUUGGACAGUGGGCGAAAGCCUGAUCCAGCCAUGCCGCGUGUGUGAAGAAGGUCUUCGGAUUGUAAAGCACUUUAAGUUGGGAGGAAGGGCAGUAAGUUAAUACCUUGCUGUUUUGACGUUACCAACAGAAUAAGCACCGGCUAACUUCGU
rnacentral:rRNA from 1 species